rnacentral:tRNA from 1 species
GCCUGGGUGGCUCAGUCGGUUGAGCAUCUGACUUCGGCUCAGGUCGUGAUCUCGAGGUUCGUGGGUUUGAGCCCCGUGUCGGGCU